rnacentral:rRNA from 1 species
CCUACGGGCGGCAGCAGUGGGGAAUAUUGCACAAUGGGCGCAAGCCUGAUGCAGCCAUGCCGCGUGUGUGAAGAAGGCCUUCGGGUUGUAAAGCACUUUCAGCGGGGAGGAAGGCGUUAAGGUUAAUAACCUUGGCGAUUGACGUUACCCGCAGAAGAAGCACCGGCUAACUCCGUGCCAGCAGCCGCGGUAAUACGGAGGGUGCAAGCGUUAAUCGGAAUUACUGGGCGUAAAGCGCACGCAGGCGGACUGUCAAGUCGGAUGUGAAAUCCCCGGGCUCAACCUGGGAACUGCAUUCGAAACUGGCAGGCUAGAGUCUUGUAGAGGGGGGUAGAAUUCCAGGUGUAGCGGUGAAAUGCGUAGAGAUCUGGAGGAAUACCGGUGGCGAAGGCGGCCCCCUGGACAAAGACUGACGCUCAGGUGCGAAAGCGUGGGGAGCAAACAGGAUUAGAUACCCGUGUAGUC